ACACACACCUCCAUCUUGCCUUCUUCUAGGCCUUGUUAGACACAGCCUGUGCCUGGAUAGGAUCCUUUAAUCUUUGCUCCAGCCCUAGCAUCUGAUACGGGCUCCAGAGUCUACCUAUGGUUGCUUAGCAACAGGCAGGCUUCUGAACUAAACACACACCUGAUUUGGUUAUCUAGCUUGAGAGAAACUUCUGCCAUCCAGUUGGGUAAACGAAUGAGCUUUUGAGAGAAUGAACUAGUAUGUGAACAGAAGUGAACGCAAGCAGCCUUGGCUUCUGCAGACCACCACCAACUAGGGCUGCCAGGCAGUGAUGGUGACUAUUCUCAACAGACUGCAAAAUCCACAGUGAAUGUCAAAUUCCUUCCAAAGGAAAGGAUUGAUUCUGUUAUUGAGGUAGGGAGACAUAAGCAGUUCUGAUGUGAGAAAAGGGAAGAGGCUAAAGAGGAAAGUGACACACAAUGGGAGAAGGACCCAACCCUGCCCCUUGUCUUUGAAGAGGAUGGAAGGGGCCAUGAACCAGGAAUUUGAUCCUCCAGGAGCAGCACAUAGCUG
rnacentral:lncRNA from 1 species